rnacentral:rRNA from 1 species
CAAUAGCGUAUACUAAUGUUGUUGCAGUUAAAAAGCUCGUAGUUGAACUUCUGGUAGGAGUGUCCCGGCCUUUUUGUUUUUACAAAUUGUAUGCUGUGUGACAUCUCUGGCCAUCCUUCUUCUUUGUUUAAAGAAGAUCUUUCACUGUAAAAAAAUUAGGGUGUUCAAAGCAAAAGUUUCUUUGGAAUAUAUUAGUAUGGGAUGAUAAGAUAGGCUCUAGAUGCUAUUUUGUUGGUUUGCACAUUUAGAGAAUGAUUAACAGGGACAGUUGGGGGUAUUCGUAUUUACAUGUCAGAGGUGAAAUUCUUGGAUUUUGGAAAGACGAACUACUGCGAAAGCAUUUACCAAGGACGUUUUCAUUAA